rnacentral:rRNA from 1 species
AACGAACGCUGGCGGCAUGCCUAAUACAUGCAAGUCGAACGAGAUCUUCGGAUCUAGUGGCGCACGGGUGCGUAACGCGUGGGAAUCUGCCCUUGGGUUCGGAAUAACGUCGGGAAACUGACGCUAAUACCGGAUGAUGACGUAAGUACAAAGAUUUAUCGCCCAGGGAUGAGCCCGCGUAGGAUUAGCUAGUUGGUGGGGUAAAGGCCUACCAAGGCGACGAUCCUUAGCUGGUCUGAGAGGAUGAUCAGCCACACUGGGACUGAGACACGGCCCAGACUCCUACGGGAGGCAGCAGUAGGGAAUAUUGGACAAUGGGGGCAACCCUGAUCCAGCAAUGCCGCGUGAGUGAUGAAGGCCUUAGGGUUGUAAAGCUCUUUUACCAGAGAUGAUAAUGACAGUAUCUGGGGAAUAAGCCCCGGCUAACUCCGUGCCAGCAGCCGCCGUAA